UACGUAGGGGGCAAGCGUUGUCCGGAAUCAUUGGGCGUAAAGAGCGCGUAGGCGGUCCGGUAAGUCCGCUCUGAAAGUCCGGGGCUCAACCCCGGGAGGCGGGCGGAUACUGUCGGGCUAGAGUCCGGAAGAGGCGAGUGGAAUUCCUGGUGUAGCGGUGAAAUGCGUAGAGAUCCGGAGGAACACCAGUGGCGAAGGCGGCCGCCUGGACCUGACCUGACGCUGAGGCGCGAAGGCGCGGGGAGCGAACGGG
rnacentral:rRNA from 1 species